UACAGAGGGUGCGAGCGUUGUUCGGAAUUAUUGGGCGUAAAGGGCGCGUAGGCGGUGCGGUAAGUCACCUGUGAAAUCUCCUGGCUCAACUGGGAGCUUGCAGGCGAAACUGCCGUGCUGGAGUGUGGGAGAGGUGCGUGGAAUUCCCGGUGUAGCGGUGAAAUGCGUAGAUAUCAGGAGGAACACCAAUGGCGAAGGCAGCACUCUGGGACGUGACUGACGCUGAGACGCGAAAGCGUGGGGAGCAAACAGG
rnacentral:rRNA from 1 species